UCCGGAGAGGGANCNUGAGAAACGGCUACCACAUCUAAGGAAGGCAGCAGGCGCGUAAAUUACCCAAUGCUGACACAGCGAGGUAGUGACAAGAAAUACCAAUACAUGGCAUACUUGUCUUGUAAUUGGGAUGAGUAGAGAUUAAAUCUUUCUUCGAGAAACAAUUGGAGGGCAAGUCUGGUGCCAGCAGCCGCGGUAAUUCCAGCUCCAAUAGCGUAUAUUAAAGUUGUUGCGGUUAAAAAGCUCGUAGUUGGAUUUCUGUCUGACGACUGCAGUCCACACUCUCGUGUGAGAAUCUGUAUAUGUCGGGCAUCUUCCUGAGUGGCGUUGGUGCUAUUCAUUUAGUGGCGACGUCUGCUCUGGACUUUUACUUUGAGGAAAUUAGAGUGUUCCAGGCAUGCCUUUGCAUUGAAUACAUUAGCAUGGAAUAAUAAGAUAUGACUGAGCUGUCGUUUUGUUGGUUCAGCACAGCACAGUAAUGAUUAAUAGGGACAGUUGGGGGCAUUCGUAUUUAUCUGUCAGAGGUGAAAUUCUUGGAUUAGAUAAAGACGAACUACUGCGAAAGCAUUUGCCAAGGAUGUUUUCAUUGAUCAAGAACGAAAGUUAGGGGAUCGAAGACGAUCAGAUACCGUCGUAGUCUUAACCAUAAACUAUGCCAGCUAGAGAUUGGUAGUAGUUGUUACUUGACACUAUCAGCACCUUAUGAGAAAUCAAAGUCUUUGGGUUCCGGGGGGAGUAUGGUCGCAAGGCUGAAAACUUAAAGGAAUUGACGGAAGGGCACCACCAGGCGUGGAGCUUGCGGCUUAAUUUGAC
rnacentral:rRNA from 1 species